AGUGAACGCUGGCGGUAGGCCUAACACAUGCAAGUCGAACGGCAGCACAGUAAGAGCUUGCUCUUACGGGUGGCGAGUGGCGGACGGGUGAGGAAUACAUCGGAAUCUACUUUUUCGUGGGGGAUGACGUAGGGAAACUUACGCUAAUACCGCAUACGACCUACGGGUGAAAGCAGGGGAUCUUCGGACCUUGCGCGAUUGAAUGAGCCGAUGUCGGAUUAGCUAGUUGGCGGGGUAAAGGCCCACCAAGGCGACGAUCCGUAGCUGGUCUGAGAGGAUGAUCAGCCACACUGGAACUGAGACACGGUCCAGACUCCUACGGGAGGCAGCAGUGGGGAAUAUUGGACAAUGGGCGCAGGCCUGAUCCAGCCAUACCGCGUGGGUGAAGAAGGCCUUCGGGUUGUAAAGCCCUUUUGUUGGGAAAGAAAAGCAGCAGGUUAAUACCCCGCUGUUCUGACGGUACCCAAAGAAUAAGCACCGGCUAACUUCGUG
rnacentral:rRNA from 1 species